ACAAACUCAGGCAUGAGAAGAAAGUUAAGGGUUGCCAUGUGUGCAACCACAUAACCAAGUUCCCCUGCCUAAAGCAAUCGGCGGAUGACAAUGGGAUGGAGGCAUGGUUUGCCAUCCUACAGAUGAGGGCGGUUGUAAGGUCUCAGAACGAUCUCUUGUUGCCAUCUGCUCUGCGGGGGAAGUUCGUGAACAUGGCGGACACCACCGAUGAAAACGUGAGAGGCGACUUCCGUGCCAUCCAGCGGACCAUUUGCACAAUACUCUGGAGGGAUGUCAUCAUGAAUGGUGGCUUGUUCAACUAUGCCUCCGCACUUUCUAAUUCCGAGAUACAAGGCCGAUUAGAAGAUGGAUGUGACGAGAGAACAUUCAACACGCUCGAGGGCAUCCGUCCCUUCCCGCCGAAGUAGACUUGAGUCAAAAACUUUUGUGUCCUGCAAAUAUGACGUACUAUGUCGUCUACCACGGCAGGGUUCCUGGAGUCUACGAGGACUGGGAAGACUGUAGGAGGCAGGUCCACCGUUUCAGCGGCAACAGCUACAAGGGGUACACCACUUUGGAGGAGGCGGAAACUCGAUACGCCAACUUUCGAGCGGGACAGAGGAGGGAGAUGUGGAGGACCCCUUUCAUCGUGAUGAUGCUUGCCGCUACCGCCUCUCUAGUUUACUAUGUCAUUGUUGUUUAGCUAGGUCGUCGACUGGACUUGUAUGUAUUUGUGUAAUAUGUGCUACUUCGAGUCGUGAUGUUAUGGUCAACUAUCUACUAUCUAAACUUGUCUUAUUAAUGCAUGCAUGUUGUGAACAUUUGGGACUUUCUAUAUAACUGUGUAUUCUGUGUA